CCUGACAUCUCUUUCCCCUCUAGCAUUCUCAGCGGCAGGCUCCUCCUCCUCUGCCAACCGGUUUGUCGGCAUCGGACCCCGGGACGGCAACUUUCUAAACAUCCCCCAGCAAUCUCAGUCUUGGUUCCUCUGACAGGAUCUUCAAGUGAAGAAAACUGAUGGUGAUGAUGAUGAUGACGACAAUGAUAUUUUUUUCACUCAAGCCCUGCGAAUCAGAAUCUUUAGUCCUUAACCUAUCUCUUCACUGAGCUGCUCCUCUGCAAAGAAAAGUAAGAGACAUUGGGUAACACAGAUGAGAAGCUUAAAAAAAAAAAUUCAUGUUGGACCUCCCUGAUCCAAAGCAGAUUUUGGCCUUUGCCUACGAGAAUCUUGUCUUCUCAAAGAAUCUCAUCAACUCAUCCUGAAGUAACUCUCUGUUAAAACAAUGUAUAAAAUAGUUCUGGACAGGCCACCCCAAAACAAUGGUGUGGUUUGUUUUUUUUUGGUUUAAAAAGGGAUUUUUUCUUCAUUCAUCAUGGGCAAAAAAAAAUAACACUCACAUCGACCAGUCUCAAAUCCCAAAACUGUCUCAAGAUUUAUGAGGGAUUAUGUUUGCUGGGGUAUGAAAAAGGAGAUCGCUCCCUAGAGAUUUGUCUACUUAAUUAGCCUAAAUCCAAGGUGAAUUCUGAAUAUGUUAAAGAAACUAAGAGCACUUGCUUAAUCGUUGCUUUGAAGAAACACCUGCGGGGAGAGGUGGAGGCUCCAGGCAAAUCAAAUUUCGUCUCAGUUCCACUCAUUGAGUAGGCCAAUUCAGUGCACCAUUGUGGUUCAGAUCUGGAAAUGGUUUAGAUUAAGCAUUACUUCUCCCACCAAACAUAUGUUCCCUUGUUAACCAAAUUAACAUUGCAUUUCUACAAGUGAAAAGAAAGCAAAAGCAGAAACACUCCUGAAUGCCAGAUGUUCCAACCGAAUUCCAUUCCAGAGCAAGGAAUAAAUUUCCUCUUCCUUCCCUCCCUCCCUCAAACAUGCAUGCACAAAUCUAUUCUCCCGCUGAUCUUGAUAUCUAGUGCUUCCUUGUGUAUUCCUUGCUCUGAAUGAACUUUUCCUGCAUCUCAGGAAAAAAAAAACAAUAAUGUCUGGAUUACAUGGAAAAUAUUUCCAGUCUUAUUCUGCGUGAACUGGAAUUCCUUUUCCCCCCAUAGUAACAAGAAAAUAUGGGCCCUCCUCGGUUCAUGGUGACAAGUUCGAUUUGACUGGAAAGUGUUUCUCUUUGAAAAGAAACACCUUGCUGCUAUUGCAAAUGGACAAAUAUUUAGGAUAGGACAGUAUUCAUUCUUUUAUAAAUAAUUAAAAAAAAAGAUUAGCAAGGCAGCAAAGGGGCAUACGUCAAUUGUACCCCAAACUGACCAUUGGGGCUAGAGUAGCUAGCUCAAGACAGGUACGUUUCGUCAGAGUACCCAGCCUAGUUGGCCCUGUGAGAUUGUGGGUGUCUGUUGUUACUAUGGUUUGACACUUUUGCUGAUCCCCUUUUCUCCACUUCAUUUUUCUUACUCUUUUGAGUUGUUGCAUUUCCUUUGGCUUCCUCUACGUACAGGUGACUACCAGCAGUGAAGUACAAUUGGUUUUUGUGUUGUUACUGUUAAAACAAGCGUCAACAAAGAUCUUAACAGUCACAGCUGCAACAAAAGGAAUUGUAUAUAAUUAGAUGUAAUGGAGGCUGUCUAAUGCAGUGUUUCUCAACCUUGGCAACUUGAAGAUGUCCGGACUUCAACUCCCAGAAUUCCCCAGCCAGCCAGAGUUGAAGUCCAGACAUCUUCAAGUUGCCAAGGUUGAGAAAUACUGGUCUAAUGGAUAGUUAUGAGGGUUUGACACUACCAUCUGUACACGGUGUGGAAAUGCACACAUGUGCACCAGAUCAGCCACACAGUUCCAUGCACUUUCCUCUUUCCUUGUCUCACACUACGGCAAAACCUGUGAGAGAAAAAAAACCAGCGUCCCUUUCUGUUGUGCACUCAUGAGAUGAUCUCUCUUGUUUCUUUUUCCAGCAUUUUUGAUAGAAACCUUUCCUUAGCAGAUGCUGAGUUUUUUUGAGGGGGGCAGGAGCUUUGCCAAAUUCUUUGGAGUUUAUCUCCCACGCUCCGUUGUUCCUAUUAGCUAUGCUCACUCUGCAUGAGGUAUCAUUGGUUCUUACUGGGCAGCAGUGAAGUUCUAUAUCGGAAUAAGGGGUAAGGAUAGGGAUGGGGUAUUGUCUAGUUUGGAAAGGGCCAGAAAGUAAUGCAGGGGACAGGUUUCUGUGCAAUUAGUCCAGAACAAUUGAAUUUAGGGCACAUAAUCUGCAGUACCUGAAGUUGUGUUCCAAAUAGUUAAUUUGAUCUAGAGAAUCUCCUGAAGCUGUUUCUACUAUCUGCUAUAGUAAUGCUCAGUUGAUUCACAGAGCGUUGUCCCAAGGAUUUCUGGAGCAGAGUUAGUCCAAAACAGACCUGCUGGUGAGGCCACGAAUCUGCACCCUUGUCCAAAUGCAAUGGUUUUCUAGUCCCAAAUGGACAAACAGGGUCGAGGAAGGGAAUCUGAGGGUUGCAGAUUUGACUCUCUCCUCUGCCAGCAGUUGGCUCUCAUGCUUAUCCUACAAUCCACAUGUCAGAGGAAUGUUCUGAAUUCCCCUGUCAUAUAUGUACAUGCAAAUAAACAUACACCAGCAGACCCUCACAAUCAAGGCCUGCUCUUGAGCCUGACCUCGCACAGCUGCAGGACAGCUGUUCCACAAAGAUGGAGGUCUUCUUUGCGAGGAAAAUUGUCAUGGAGUGAGCAGCCUGCAUGUAGAUAUUUUGGGGCUGCCACAAAGCGGAGACACUCAACUGAUGCUUUAGUCAGUGGUCUGAACCAGAUCUAUUCCUUUAAAGUAACAGUGGAGAGGGAAUUUAAUGAAUUCUAGGAUUAGCAUUCUACCUGCUGCUUCUGUCACACCACAGGUCCUCUCACAUUAAGUUCUCUUAAUGUUAUUCAAAAAUUAAGCAUAAUGUAGUAGAGGUGACGUUGGAAUAAAAAUUCAUACUAUGAUUGUUGAUCCCCCUUUCAGCACUCUGAGAAAAAAAAAAUAUUGAAUGUAGCUGAAUAUCCAUAGAGUAAAAGAUGGAGCCAAAUCAGUGAUAUGGGCAGAAUUUGGAUGCAGCAGCUACAAUUAGGACAUAAACCCCAUUCCUGUUAUGAAACUGCUCAGAUUAAAAAAAAUGCCCAAAGCGUGUGUUUCCUUAAGAACACUGAGCCUGGAUAUAUUUUGCAUCUGAGAGCAUUGAUACAGUUCCUAAUCUGGUGGCCUUAAAAAAAAGAGAUCCCCUUGGACUAUCCAGCCUACCGUUCACGACCUUUUAAAGCAAAAUAAUCGACAUAAAGCACCUUUUCUAGACUGAUUGCACUGGAGAGGAUUCCAACGUGUAACAAGGCUUGGGGAAUGUGCUAAUAUUAAAUAUGACUCAAGCUGUAGCAUUUGAAAGGAUCCAUGAUUUUUGUUUGAUUUGGUUAUAAGAGCAUUUGAAACAUUCCCAGAUUGAAGAAGAUUGUGCCUUCCCUACCCCAAACAUACCCAAAUUCCUGUUUCCAUUAGGCUCGACAAUUUCUCAGCAUACAAACAUACAAAGCGUGAAAAAUCUUCCAAAUAUUUGUAUUGUGAAGAUCACAAUAGUCCAGGUGGCUCUAUUUAAUAUGCAGAAACCCAGACCUUCACUAGAUUGCCUCCAAGACCAGUAGCCAUCUGGCUUUUCUAGCCCAAAUAGAUAUGUUAGCCCUACAAGAAGUGAUCCUGCUCCAUUCCUUCAGUUCUUAAAUAUAUUUAGUAAGCUCAUUCACUUAAAACACUGAUUGCUUUCCUUUCAAGUAGCCCAAUAAUUUUACUCAAUUGUUGGAAGCUUCUGACCUUAAUGCCCAGCAUUGCUCAGAAUGGGUUCCCUAAAAACAGGAAAUGGAUAGAUCUGGGGGGGGAAAAAAGGUAGGAAUUGCAGGAAUCCAGAGGUGGGUGACCACCAAUGAAACAGCACUUAAAAUGGUUAGAGGGUGGUUGGUAGGGGAGUAGAAGUUUACUGUUAUUUAAUUCUGAAAAAAAAAAGAAGCUUUAAAUCCUAACAGUGCUUAAGCACUUAUUUAAUACUUGGGAUUUUUAAGAGGUUAACAGAUGAAUAACAGUAGCAUGUAGGUGGGUAGAUGGAAUAUCCGUGCCAUCUAUUUACAUGUUGCCUUGCUGGAGUCCUAAAAAAAGGGGUAAAUGUCAACCCUGGGGAUGAAUCCAUAAGGGGUGACAUGGAGAAGUUUCAGUUUUGGUGGCUUACAGGUAUCGGCAGCAAAACACACAAAACACUUUUGUUUAAAAGGGGGAGGGGAUUUUAAAAAAACGAAAUAUAUAUUAGGGGUUUUAAAAGAACCAAUUUUGUUUGCAUUGAGCCAAGUGCAAUGGAGUGCAUAGUUUUAAUAUCUUUGUAUGUUAAAGAUUGUUAAGAAGAAGAGAGAAAAAAUCUAUUUUUGUUGCAAAGUCCUCUGUUCUCAGGGACUCUAAAUAAAUUGGGACAAAAGAGAAAAAACCCACCUUUGUAAGUAUGGGGAAAAACUUUUUCUGUUUAUUUUUUCAUUUGUCUAUUUUUUUCCUUUUUCCUUGUUUAUUUUUUUAAAUUCUUUUGAAAAGGUCGAUAAUAAUUGAGGAUUGGUUGUUGUUUCCUCUUUUUCCUCAUUAGUUUUGUCAUUUUAUGGGAGGGCUGAAGGCAAAAGUUUUGUCAUGCACAAAAAUAAGCUUGUAAAAAAAAACACUGUAUCAGGUUUAAAAAAAAAUUGAAGACGAUUGCAAAA